rnacentral:piRNA from 1 species
UUACAAUGUCAGAAUUUGUUGAACAACAA